rnacentral:rRNA from 1 species
CACCGCGGUUAUACGAGAGACCCAAGUUGAUAAAUAUCGGCGUAAAGCGUGGUUAAGAUAGACUGAAACUAAAGCCGAACGCCCUCAGAGCCGUUAUACGCACCCGAAGGUAAGAAGACCAAUCACGAAAGUGGCUUUAAACACCCCCCUGAACCCACGAAAGCUAUGAUA